rnacentral:rRNA from 1 species
AAAGCGUGCGCAGGCGGUUAUGUAAGACAGAUGUGAAAUCCCCGGGCUCAACCUGGGAACUGCAUUUGUGACUGCAUGGCUAGAGUAAGGUAGAGGGGGAUGGAAUUCCGCGUGUAGCAGUGAAAUGCGUAGAUAUGCGGAGGAACACCGAUGGCGAAGGCAAUCCCCUGGACCUGUACUGACGCUCAUGCACGAAAGCGUGGGGAGCAAACAGGAUUAGAUACCCGUGU